rnacentral:rRNA from 1 species
CCUACGGGAGGCAGCAGUGGGGAAUAUUGGACAAUGGGGGAAACCCUGAUCCAGCGACGCCGCGUGAGUGAAGAAGUGUUUCGGCAUGUAAAGCUCUAUCAGCAGGGAAGAAAAUGACGGUACCUGACUAAGAAGCCCCGGCUAACUACGUGCCAGCAGCCGCGGUAAUACGUAGGGGGCAAGCGUUAUCCGGAUUUACUGGGUGUAAAGGGAGCGUAGACGGUUCUGCAAGUCUGGAGUGAAAGCCCGGGGCUCAACCCCGGGACUGCUUUGGAAACUGUGGGACUAGAGUGCAGGAGAGGUAAGUGGAAUUCCUAGUGUAGCGGUGAAAUGCGUAGAUAUUAGGAGGAACACCAGUGGCGAAGGCGGCUUACUGGACUGUAACUGACGUUGAGGCUCGAAAGCGUGGGGAGCAAACAGGAUUAGAUACCCCAGUAGU